rnacentral:rRNA from 1 species
ACGCCGUCUGGUGGAUGGCUAGGCUCGGGCGCCGAGGAAGGGCGUGCCAAGCUGCGAUAAGCCCCGGGUAGGCGCAAGGAGCCUUUGAUCCGGGGAUUCCCGAAUGGGACUUCCUGCUACGGUAAACCCGUAGCGAUCCCAUUGGGAUCGGGAACGCGGGGAAUUGAAACAUCUUAGUACCCGCAGGAAAAGAAAGCAAUAGCGAUGCCGUGAGUAGGGGCGACCGAAAACGGCACAGGGCAAACCGAACCUCUUGCCGAAAGGCAGGAGGGAUGUGGUGUUUGGACCCCGGUACUCCCAAAUGGUGAACCCGAAGUCGGCUGGAAUGCCGCACCAUAGAGGGUGAUAGUCCCGUAGGGNUAAGCCAGGAGGGAGAGUCCGGGUGUUCCAGAGUAGCGCGGGUUGGAUAUCCCGCGUGAAGGUGGGAGGCAUAAACUCCCAACCCUAAAUACGUCCCGAGACCGAUAGCGAACUAGUAGGGUGACCGAAAGCUGAAAAGUACCCCGAAGAGGGAGGUGAAAAGAGCCUGAAACCAGGCGGUUACAGGCAGGUAGGGCGUGAAAGGGCGUAUGCCCAGCGUCCUGCCGUACGUUUCGAAAAACGGGCCAGGGAGUUCCUGGCGAUGGCGAGGUUAAAGGCGAAAGCCUGAAGCCGUAGCGAAAGCGAGUGCCCGCAGUGCCAUCUGGCACGAGGGGCNAGGUGUGCUCGCCUUGAGUCAUCGUCAGGAGACCCGAAACCGGUCGAUCUAUGCGCGGCCAGGUUGAAGCCUCCUGAAAGGGAGGUGGAGGACCGCACCGGUGCUGACGUGCAAAUCGUUCGGAUGAGCCGCGUAUAGGGGUGAAAGGCCAAUCUAGACCGGAGAUAGCUGGUUCCCCCCGAAGCUUCCCGCAGGAAGACCUCCGGCGAGGUAGGUGGUGCGGUAGAGCACUGAUUGGGUGGUUAGGGGGCGAAAGCCCUCGCCAUCCUGUCAAACUCCGAACGUGCCACCGCCGUAGACCCGGGGAGUUCGGGCGUCAGGCGUAAGGUUGGCGUCCGAAAGGGAAAGAACCCAGCCCCGUGUUAAGGUCCCCAAGUACCGGCUAAGUGUGACCCAAAGGGAGUCCACACCCCCAGACAGCCGGGAGGUAGGCUUAGAAGCAGCCAUCCUUUAAAGAGUGCGUAACAGCUCACCGGCCGAGGGUGUGGGCCCCGAAAAUGGACGGGGCUCAAGCCGGUCACCGAGACACGGGUACUCCUUCCGUANGGAAGGAGUAGGUAGGGGGGCGCGGUGCGUGGGUAGAAGCUGGGGUGUGAACUCCAGUGGACCACGUACCGACGAGAAUCCUGGCGAAAGUAGCAGCAAAGUCGGGUGAGAAUCCCGACCGCCGAAGGGGCCAGGGUUCCACGGCAAUGUUCGUCAGCCGUGGGUUAGCCGGUCCUAAGGUGUACCCUAACUGGAGUACACCGAAAGGGAAGCAGGUUAAUAUUCCUGCGCCGCCAUAGGCUAUACUCCCAUGCAUGACGCAUCCGGAUAGGCCGAGCAGCGCCGUCGCGCUGUCUAAGCGCUGAAGUCCCCGGAGUACCGUAAUGGUGAGAAGGGGAUGAAGGCGUGAUGGGCCCUCCAAUUGAGGAGGGUUCGGCUGAGUCCGGGUGCCCGUGAAAAGUGUAUGGGCGUGGCCUAUGGCGACCGUACCGAGAACUGACACAGGUGCCCCUGGGUGAGUAGCCCAAGGCGUGUCGGCGUAAUCCACCCGAGGGAACUCGGCAAACUAGCCCCGUAACUUCGGGAGAAGGGGUGCCUGCUCUGAGUAAGAGCAGGUCGCAGUGACUAGGGGGCUCCGACUGUUUAAUAAAAACAUAGGCGGCAGCAAGCCCGAAAGGGUGUGUAUUGCCGCUGAAACCUGCCCAGUGCGGGUACCUGAAAGCCGGGUUCAACCGGAAGAAGGGCCCGUAAACGGCGGGGGUAACUCUGACCCUCUUAAGGUAGCGUAAUACCUUGCCGCUUAAUUGGCGGCUUGCAUGAAUGGUCCAACGAGAGCCCCGCUGUCCCCGGGUGGAGCCCGGCGAAAUCGACUUACUGGCGCACAGUCCAGUACCCCCCAGCCGCAAGCGAAGACCCUGUGGAGCUUUACUACAGCCUGUCGCUGGGGUGCGGCUUCGGGUGUGCAGCGUAGGUAGGAGCCGUCGAAGCGGCCUCGCUAGGGGCCGUGGAGGCGCCAAUGAGACACUACCCUCCCGAAGUUGCAUCUCUAACCCGGAAGGGGACAACGGCAGGUGGGUAGUUUGGGUGGGGCGCCACGCCCCUGAAAAGAUAUCAGGGGCGCCCAAAGGCCGGCUCAGGCGGGUCAGAAAUCCGCCGUAGAGUGCAAGGGCAAAAGCCGGCUUGACGCGGAUCUGCCCCGCGAGGAUCCGCGAUGUGAAAGCAGGGCCUAGCGAACCAAUGUCCCUCAUUUAUGGGGGGCAUUGAUGACAGAAAAGUUACCCCAGGGAUAACUGAGUUGUCUCCGGCAAGAGCUCACAUCGACCCGGAGGCUUGCUACUUCGAUGUCGUCUCUCCGCAUCCUGGCGGUGCAGCAGCCGCCAAGGGUGGGGUUGUUCGCCCAUUAAAGCGGAUCGUGAGAUGGGUUUAGACCGUCGCGAGACAGGUUGGUUGCUCUGCGCUGGGGGUGCUCGGUGCCUGAGGGGAAAGGCCCCUCGGUACGAGAGGAACGGGGGCCUGCGGCCUCUGGUUUACCAGCUGUCCGACAGGGCAUGCUGGGCAGCUACGCCGCAAGGGAUAACCGCUGAAGGCAUCUAAGCGGGAAACCCACCCUGAAACGAGGCACCGUUAGGGCUCGGGUAAAAGACCCGGUUGAUAGGGCCGGGGUGUAAGCGGGGAGGCAACGACCCGUUNAGCCCGCGGCUACUAAUCGCCCGAGCAGCUCUC